rnacentral:SRP_RNA from 1 species
UUGGUGGGAUAUGGAUUCGGAGCGUCUUUCGUGGCUCUGUUUGCCCAGCUUGGUGGUGGGAUCUACACGAAGGCUGCGGACGUUGGAGCCGACUUGGUCGGCAAGGUUGAGGCUGGUAUCCCUGAA